rnacentral:lncRNA from 1 species
GCUGGAGUAUGGAGUAGUAAAUGAUCAUGACAUCAGGUCAGCUGCAGUUCUCACUGGGACCAAUAAACAAUAGAAGCAACAACCAUAAAGACUUAAGAGGACAAAGGAAACCAAACCUCACUGUGUGUCUUCAAGAUCUGUUCACAUAGUUGCAGGAAGUUGCUGUAGACAAAGUACAUUACUAAAGAAUGAAGCCCACCCAGGACAUCACAGCAACGAAAGAACUAUUUCUGGUAACUGUGGACCAGGUGAGAGCCACACUGUAGAACAGCAGUGCUGCCCUCUCUUCUUUGGCGAAUGUUAUGAAGACAUUCUGAUGCACUUAGGAUCAUGAUUCAUGUUAAAUGUAAAUUAAUUGUAAAAAUAAUACAUCUUGCUCCAAAAUGUGGUGACAAUUUAGAAGCUGUCCACAUAGCCAGACCACUCUGUAAAUCACAGAACCUAGAAAGUAAAAAUGUGCCAUAAUUAGGACAGCAGAAAGUAACAGUAAAAUAAAGUUUUAAA